rnacentral:rRNA from 1 species
CCUACGGGAGGCAGCAGUGGGGAAUAUUGGGCAAUGGGCGCAAGCCUGACCCAGCAACGCCGCGUGAAGGAAGAAGGCCUUCGGGUUGUAAACUUCUUUUCUCAGGGACGAAGACAGUGACGGUACCUGAGGAAUAAGCCACGGCUAACUACGUGCCAGCAGCCGCGGUAAUACGUAGGUGGCAAGCGUUAUACGGAAUGACUGGGUGUAAAGGGGGUGUAGGCGGGGAAGCAAGUCCGAGGUGAAAACCACGGGCUCAACCUGUGGUCUGCAUUUGAGACUGUUAUUCUUGAGUACUGGAGAGGCAGGCGGAAUUCCUAGUGUAGCGGUGAAAUGCGUAGAUAUUAGGAGGAACACCAGUGGCGAAGGCGGUCUGCUGGACAGCAACUGACGCUGAGGCGCGAAAGCGUGGGGAGCAAACAGGAUUAGAUACCCUAGUAGUC